rnacentral:rRNA from 1 species
CCCACAUUGAAAGUUUAUGACCAAAAUGGCACAUCGUGAGCAGCCCGCCUCGUGCAGAUUGACUGCCCUAUGGGUUGUAAACUGCUUUUAUACGGGAAAAAAAAGCCCGACGUGUCGGGUGUUGACGGUACUGUAACAAUAAGGAUCGGCUAACUCCGUGCCAGCACCCGCGGUAAUACGGAGGAUCCAAGCGUUAUCCGGAAUCAUUGGGUUUAAAGGGACCGUAGGCGGAACAAUAAGUUAGUGGUGAAAGUCUGCACCUCAACUGUAGAAUUGCCAUUGAUACUGAUGUUCUUGAAUGCUUGUGAAGUGAAUAAAAUGAGUAUUGUAGCGGUGAAAUGCAUAGAUAUUACUCAGAAUACCGAUUGCGAAGGCAGAUCUCUAGCAAUUCACUGACGCUGAUGGUCGAAAGCGUAGGUAGCGAACAGGAUUAGAUACCCUGGUAGUCUACGCCGUAAACGACGGGUACUAGCUGUUAGGGUCAUGGAGAUCUAGGGCUCAGCUAACACAUCAGUAUCCUCCUGGUUCGCCGGGUAUGAAACAGGCCGGAACGUUUU